GGGAAAAGGAAAGAGACAGACCAGAGGACUGAUACUUCCAGAGAAACUGAAAGAAGAUCCAAACUCUCUCGUGGCUGACAUCUGCACAGCGGCUUUACAGAAGUAGUGCUCCAUAUCAGAGUAAGAGAGGACGAACUCUUGCCUGUCCCUCCAGCUGCUCCUGCCGGUCAGAAGGGCAAAUGUUUGGAUCUGUUGUGAGAUCUCAAAGCUGAAUGCAAAUCCUGAAGAUGACCUACUUCUUCCCUUUCGACAUAGACACUCCGCUAAAAUCCAUAAAUUAAGGAAAUUAACUGAUGGGGCCCGGGGCCACUUUUUUCCCCUGCAGUUUGUACCUCUGGAAACAACAAAUCUGUGCCGCAAGGGAUGAUGGGAUCGCUCUGAGGCGCGGGGGUCUGUCUAAUUACGAAGACUUGGCUUCAAGGAGAGACGCUUUCACACACUCCCACUAUGCUGCUGCCAAACCACCAGUAAAACUGCUUUAUUUUACUUUGUGAUACUGGUUAUUUUAGAUGUAGGAAGAUAUGUGUUACUCCCAGGAUACUAGAAGAGCUAACGGUUUUCCGUUUCAGUUAAAUGAAAAAGAUGUAAUCUGAUUACUGGUAUGUUUUUUAAAACCGGGGAUUAGUAGCAGGAUUACAAUCUUACAAUACAUCUAAAAAUUAGAGAGUGACAUAUUAAGGAAC